rnacentral:lncRNA from 1 species
UAUUAAUAGUUAUAAUGUGUGUAACAUAUUAACAUUAUUAGUAAUACUGACAUUUGGCUGUCCAAACCUAGUUCCAUUUGCAUAGUUAUUAUUGCAAAUGGAGCUUGAACUAGUUUCAUUGCAAGAGUCCAUUGCAUGGUUCGCGGUACCGACCUAAAUCGGACGGUACAGGAUGUACCGUACUAUACCAGUUUUGUAUCGGUUUCCGAUACGGAUGGCGUGCCGACACUCGAUAUGGUUUGCGUACCAACAUUCGGUACGCCGAAAAGAUUUCAUACUGUACUAGAUGGUGUACCGAUACUCGGUACGUCGAAAAGAUUCCGUACUGUACCGAUACCGUACUAGUGUGGCACCAGUAUGGGGUGCGGUAUCGAGACGACGAAUCUUGGUCCAUUUGUUCUAUAUGUGGCCCCAGAAAUUUUACUUGCAAUUAAUUAGUGUUGCAAAUGGAGCUUGAGAGAGUUUCAUUGCAUGAGCCCAUGGGCCGCAUAUGUCGCCCCACAAUGCCAAGCAUGCUACGUAUGGCAUAAUGCUAAGCAAGCCUCAUAUGCAGGGCUGCAUAUAUAGCCACAAAAUGUUAGGUGGAUUGCUUUUAAGGCCUAUAUGUGGCAAGCAAUGUAGUAUGGGUGGUUAGUAUGGUUGGGAACCACCUUUACAUAUGCAGCCAUACUCUACAUUUUAAAAUCCUGAUCUAAACAUGGCUUGGUUUCCUUUUAGGACAUGAUUUUAUACUUGGGCCCAAUCGAUUUGCUGACUAGGUUGGAUCGGGCUGAGUCCAUGAAAAUUGUUUGGACCCAUCCAGCCUGCGGUAGGUCUUGCAUGAUCCAUAUAUUUGGGUCCACAUUAUGUUGGACCUAGCUUUGGUCAAGUGCAAGAGGAAAGAAAAGUUCACUUGAGAGUUCAGGUGGAUACAAAGUUUAGAAGAAUAAAAAAGGUUUCGGUAUGGAUUGCUCCCACUAAUUUUGUCAAGAAAGAUGCAAUUUAAGUAUUUAACCCUAGUCCUCAACUUACAAAGGAACAUCCUCAAUACCCCUACAAACCAAAAGUGCAUGAUUAAUGAAGGACCACCUGAGGGAAGCAUUUAAAUGCUGUCCUAAAAUGACUUGAAUGCAAAACAGCAAGCAAUAUGAAUGAGUCUGAAAGCUAAACCUAUGACAAACCUCAAAUAUAGGAGACUAGAUGUUCCUAAAUGAGAAAAAAUGCAUGAUCUAGUUAAGAACAGAAACAACAAUGCAGUAGAAUGUAAAAAAUUGUCUAAACUAAACCUAAGAAUGAUAUUAAAUGUGUAUGCUGCAAAUAUGGCUUCUAAUUAAAUCAUAGCAACAGUAGGGGAACAAAUAGACCCUAGGAAAUAAGGAGAGAUGCAGAUCUGAUGUGGGAAGAAGUAGAAGGAGAAAGGAAGAAAGGAUAACUACCGAACUUGCUUUGGAGGAGCUCUCACACCUUGAUUACGUGAAAUGCAGGAAGAAGACGAAGGGAACAGCAGUUUUUUAAUUAUUUCACUGUGCAACCAUCAUAAUAAAGUAUUUUUAUGGUCGGCCACUAUUUGUAACAUGAAAUGGCACUUUUGUAGGACCCCUUCUAACUAAUAUGAUUACAAUAAAGUCCUUGAAAAUUUUAGAGCAAGUCCUUCAAACUUAGAAUUCAUAGAUAUCUCAAUCUAAUAUAAAACCAAAAUAAACAGAGCGAAACACUUGAUGAAAUUUGAUGCUAAACAUAAUCUAAAAUCUAAUGACCUUCUAUUUGUGAGCACGCAUUUCUUCAUUGAUACCAUUGCUAGGUCUUAAAAUCUUUUUGAACUCCAUUAAUGAUAGAGUUGUUAGUCUCGAAGUCAGGGGAUCUUGGGUUAAGUUGGGAUGGGUCGGGCUAGACCAGCUUGGGUUGUCUAAUGUUUGACUUUGACCUUACUAGUCCAUGGGUUUGCUUAUGCUGGCUUGUGCAAGAAAAUAGACCUAUAUCCAUCUUGUUAUCUAGGUCAUAUUCUGGAUGUAAAAUUGUCUCUUGAGCCUAAAUGAUUGGGUCUGGUUGGACCUAACCAUGUUGGAACUGUGUUGGGCCACGAGUUAGCCUGACCUUUUUCAACCUUAGGGGCGUCGUAUGAGUCAUAUUCUGGAUGUAAAAUUGUCUCUUGAGCCUAAAUGAUUGGGUCUGGUUGGACCUAACCAUGUUGGAACUGUGUUGGGCCACGAGUUAGCCUGACCUUUUUCAACCUUAGGGGCGUCGUAUGAGAAUCGUGAAAGUGUACCUUUGAUUGUGGCGGCAAACAACUGCUAGCUUUAUAUCUUCAUGCUUUUUGCCUCACCUUCUUCUGCCACCUCUCCUUAUACACUUUCCUAGUGCUCUUGCUCUUGCUGGUCUCCUGUUCCCCCUCUUUUUCCUCUACUCUUCUCCUCAUGUGUUUCUAGCUCCUCUUUUUCUUGUGUUGUUUCUCCUUUCCUCUAGCUUACUACCUACUUGUUUCUUCCUCUUCCUUCUCUGCUUCUUUCCUCCAAUUGCUUAUGGGCUAUGUAGUCCCUUGACUGUGUUGCCCCUUUUCAAAUUAUUAUUGCACCUCUCCUCUCCUCUUGACUCCUUACCUCCCCUUUUUCCUCCACCCCUCCACUAUUGGGUGUUCCAUCUCAUAGAUGCUCUUCGUUGUCAUGUCACCUUUCUCCACCAUUAUAUGCUGUUUGGCGUUGGCAACUCCCAAUCAUGCAAUUUAAUCCGCUCCCAUCUCAUUGUCCAUGCCAGACUAUCCUUCUCCUUAGAAGGUUUGCAUACAAUUGGUGAUAGCUACCAUCCACAUUAUCCUUGUCCUAAACCCAGUUCUCUCUCCAUUUUGAUUUGGCUAGGUUUGUGCUAAUUUGAAAAUCUAAUAUAGGUGCGUCUGGGCUUGCCCUUGAUAGUUCAGGUUGACUGGGGCUGACCCAUCAGCAAUUGCGCUGCCAUUGUUGUUUAAGAGUUUAAAUUAUGGGUUUGCCAAUAUAUACAUCUAGGUUCCACAAGCUGGAAGAGCUUGGAAGUCGAAUUGGCUUUUCCACAUUGGAGUUUUUAUAGCUCUUGUGAUGCAGGGUUCCACAUGCUAUUGCUGCUUUGCAAUUCAGUCUCUUACUACUGAUUUGAUCUCAACUGGUGUUGGGUGUGAACUAAAUUCAUUGUUGAAGUGCUCUCAGGAUUUUAUAUCAUUGCGCUGAACAAAAAAAAAUCUUGGGGACUUGGAACUUGUUCACCAUAUCGUCUAUUUGGAAAUGGAUCACGACAUUGUCCUCCUUUCAGAAACUUUCGACAAUCUCAUUUGUAUUUUCUUAAAUGCAUCCUAUUUCUCAUAUAUAUUUAACUAGGUCAUAUUUAUAAGUUGUAUAACCUCUAUGUUUUGGCCUUUAUGCUUUUCUCAUUGUGUCAUACAUGUCUGACUUCCUUGAUGAUGUUGCGACUAUGAGGACCUGUGCCGGCGUGUGUUUAGUCUCACAUCGGUUAUUCGCUGGGUAGAUUUUGGAUGCUUAUACAGGAUUAAGGAAUCCAAAUAAUACCUUCUGGCUAGCCAUUUUGGGUGAGGUCCUGCGUUGUUAUAAAUGAUAUCAGAGUGGACCCAGCCUAUAACCUAUGUGAAUUAGGGGACACUGCAGCAUGGAUCCAUUGAGGCUGACCACGGGCCGAUCGUGGUGCUUGUGAUUAGAUUUGAAUGGAUUUGAACCCUUUGCCUGAAGAAGACGUC